ACUUUUUCAAACUUGGGCUCGGAGGACCGAGCCAACAGGUAAGUCCUGUCUCCCCGGGAAGGGGGCUUCCAGGGGCUUCCCUGGGCACCACUGCGGGCCUGGGGAGGACCCAACUACCUCCCUUGCCCAAGGCAGCCACAGACCUCCUGCUGGGAAGCUUGAGUCGCUGCUUCCCUGGGCACCCCCUGAAGGAGACGCAGGAGCCCACCUCCCAGGCCUUGCUUUCCCCACCCUUCCUUCCCUUCUCUUUUCCUGUCCCUUUUCUCCUCUUUCCUCCUGUUCUUUCCUCCCCUCCUCUUCUCUCUCUCUCUAAGCAAGGAUGAAAACUUCCAGAUGGCCUUGGAGGACAUGGACAUCAAUGUGAGGAUGAGGGUGCAAAGCAGGGAUGGUGCACAUCCAGAGACCUGAGGUGGCCUCGUCCUUGCUGUGAGCCCUGAGCCUCCCCCCUCCCCCCUGCCCCGGACUGUGAGAAGAAACCAUCUGUACCGCAUCCUUUUCGAGAGUGGGCCCAAGGACUCAUGCAGCUCCGUCUCCUGGUCACUUUGGGCAAAAUCCGACCAGCCCCCUGACCCUCAUCCUUCUCCCAACUUGAGUGAAACCCACCCGCAGAGCCAGUUCAAACCCAGGCUCCUCCACUGUGGGACCUUGGGCAAAUCAGUAAUUUCUCUGAACCUGUAAAAUGUGUAUAGUGUGUUUGUGCUGAUGCCUUGAGCAAUUCUUGUGCAAACUAGAUGUGCUCUGUCAGGUCUCUUUCCCAAUGCACCUUCCUAUGUCCCCACAUGCUUCAGGGGUCUUGGAACCCAGUCCCUAUUCUCCUGUGCAUCUCUCUGCCUGCCCCCCGCUCCACCCCCCACCCCCCAGCCAGAAUCACCCUCCCACCUGCUCCCUAUGUAACUCCUUGCUGCACCCCUUGCUCCCAUCCUUGAAUCUCCCCGCUGGGAACCCACUUCUUGAAUCACUCCAUGCCCCCGCGCCCAGCCCAGAGUCUCCCCCAGUUUGUCCCUUCCCCCAUCCUUAUAACUUCAGCCCUAAAUUCUUACCCCUAUCCCAGUGCCCCAGGCCUAUAUCCCCCCUCCUCCCCCCACACCCAGUUCCCAGCUAUGUACAGAUGUCCUCUGCCUCUCAGGUUCCCCAGCUGCUGCUUCCCAGGCCCUGGUCCCCUAUUCUGAGACUCCAUUCCAUCUCCCUCCCAAGGGUUCUUGUCCUCAUUCCCCUGUCUCCCUGUCCCCUCCCCACCUUUCCCCUCCAGUCCCCUUUCCUCUCCCUGGCCUCACCUCCAUCGCUGCAGUAAUGUCAGGGGCCAGAAGUCCCCAGGCUUCUCGGCAAGAACGACUCCUCUGCAGACAGGAAGUCUGCCAGCCUCCAGUUCUCACAUGUGAACACAAUAUAGCAUUUCUUGUAAAAGAA